rnacentral:rRNA from 1 species
UACGGAGGGUGCAAGCGUUAUCCGGAUUUACUGGGUUUAAAGGGUGCGUAGGAGGGCAGGUAAGUCAGUGGUGAAAUCUUCGAGCUUAACUCGGAAACUGCCGUUGAUACUAUCUGUCUUGAAUACCGUGGAGGUGAGCGGAAUAUGUCAUGUAGCGGUGAAAUGCUUAGAUAUGACAUAGAACACCAAUUGCGAAGGCAGCUCACUACACGAAUAUUGACUCUGAGGCACGAAAGCGUGGGGAUCAAACAGG